CCUACGGGUGGCAGCAGUAAGGAAUAUUGGUCAAUGGACGAAAGUCUGAACCAGCCAUGCCGCGUGGAGGAUGAAGGUCCUCUGGAUUGUAAACUUCUUUUAUAUGGGACGAAAAAAGGCCUUUCUAGGUCGUCUGACGGUACCAUAUGAAUAAGCACCGGCUAACUCCGUGCCAGCAGCCGCGGUAAUACGGAGGGUGCCAGCGUUAUCCGGAUUCACUGGGUUGAAGGGGUGUUGGGGUGGGUUGGUAGAAAGCCCCGGGCUUAACUUGGGAACUGCCAUUGAUACUAUCAGUCUUGAAUACCGUGGAGGUCAGCGGAAUAUGUCAUGUAGCGGUGAAAUGCUUAGAUAUGACAUAGAACACCAAUUGCGAAGGCAGCUGGCUACCCGAAUAUUGACACUGAGGCACGAAAGCGUGGGGAUCAAACAGGAUUAGAUACCCCUGUAGUC
rnacentral:rRNA from 1 species